UACGUAGGGUCCGAGCGUUGUCCGGAAUUACUGGGCGUAAAGAGCUCGUAGGUGGUUUGUCGCGUUGUUCGUGAAAACUCACAGCUCAACUGUGGGCGUGCGGGCGAUACGGGCAGACUAGAGUACUGCAGGGGAGACUGGAAUUCCUGGUGUAGCGGUGGAAUGCGCAGAUAUCAGGAGGAACACCGGUGGCGAAGGCGGGUCUCUGGGCAGUAACUGACGCUGAGGAGCGAAAAGCGUGGGGAGCGAACAGG
rnacentral:rRNA from 1 species